rnacentral:rRNA from 1 species
AUACGGAGGAUCCGAGCGUUAUCCGGAUUUAUUGGGUUUAAAGGGAGCGUAGGCGGACUAUUAAGUCAGCUGUGAAAGUUUGCGGCUCAACCGUAAAAUUGCAGUUGAUACUAGUCGUCUUGAGUGCAGUAGAGGUAGGCGGAAUUCGUGGUGUAGCGGUGAAAUGCUUAGAUAUCACGAAGAACUCCGAUUGCGAAGGCAGCUUACUGGACUGUAACUGACGCUGAUGCUCGAAAGUGUGGGUAUCAAACAGGAUUAGAUACCCUGGUAGUCCACACAGUAAACGAUGAAUACUCGCUGUUUGCGAUAUACGGCAAGCGGCCAAGCGAAAGCAUUAAGUAUUCCACCUGGGGAGUACGCCGGCAACGGUGAAACUCAAAUGAAUUGACGG